UUGAUUCAAUUAGUAGUUUUGAACAACUAAUUGGGCAUUCUUUAAAAAGGUUUUAAAAUGUCAAUUGUGUUAGUGAUUAAACCAAGAAACAAGUGUCUAAAUCUAUAAAAUGUUUAAAGACUUUAGUCACUUAAUAACAAGACAUUAACUUAGUGAAGAUUGAAACAAAUGAGCUUGAAAAGUUUUUUUUUUUUUUUAAGCUACCACACAAUGUCUUCUACCAAUAUAAUCCACUUUUAUACAUUUUGAAUGUAUGAAAUGAUUUCUCAUUAAAGUCAUGAGAAAUAGUGGGAGGUGUGAAAAUGGAUAUAAACUUGAAUAUGAUUGGUUUAUAGUUGUCUAAAGGAUAAUAGUACUUGACUAUUAUUAAGAGUUUGCAAUUUUAAUUGUUAAAAGACUCAAGCUCUUCAAAACAUUAAAAUUCUAUGUUGUGUGACAUUCUAAAGAAUAGUCUUUGAAUGUUGGUUUCGUCAACCUAGCAUAAAAUGGUUAUAUGUUGGGAGUUGUCCAUAAUUCUCUUUUAUGAGAACAAGCUAAAUAACCAAGCAUAUGGACAAGUUGAUGAAACAAAAGGGAAUAAGUUUCAAAAUGAGUCACAACAUAUGGUUUAACAACAAGACAAACCAAAUUCAACAUCUCAUGUAACAAUAUUGCUCUAUGUAGUUUUAAUAAAGAAUUAUAUCAACCACCUAGAAGGAAUGGUUGAGUUUCUAUAUCCUUAGUAGGAGCCAUGCUUCCACUAAAGACUUGGAUAAUUCUUAUAUGACUGCAUUAAAGGUCUUAGUAUGACUAAAACUUGAAGUAUGGUGUAUGACACCAUAAAAUUUAAAUGAAUAGACUUAAUGGAACAAGUCACACAUUUCAAAUGGAAUUACUUGAGAAGGAAUUCUUUUGUGUGUGAUUCAUUUAAGUUAGUGGGAGCAAUAUGCAUUCAAAUCAAGAAAAUAUAAUUGUUAUUUUUGAAUGAAUCCUAAGUUACAACAAGGCCAGUGGGAGUGAUGUUAUAAUUUGAGCAACAUGAUGUGAAUAAAGUCUAUUUGAUAGACUUGAUAAAACAUAAAUGUUACUCGAAAAAUGACAAAACAUGACAUGGUCAAUUUUGAAGUAUAGACUUGAAAUUGGACUUAUUGAUAUAGCAAGGCUAUCUCAAUGAUGUUGUAUGGGAAUUAAAUCUCAAAUGUUGUAGAUUUAAGAAAGCUUUUUCCUAUGUGAUAGAAAAUCACUUUCAUAACCCUAAUAAUGAAUAUGUCACAAAAUCACAAAAGGGACACAUGUAUAGACUUGUGAAGUAGAUAUCCAAAGGUGAAGAACCACAUGGUUGUCACUUUAAGAUAUUACUAUAUCCCAGGAUUAGAACCAAAGCAACUGAUAGAGUAUUAUUGCCUUUAAGAAAGAAAUAUCAGAGUGGGACUCUGGAAGCAUGCAUUCACUUAGGUUAUUAACCAGAAUGAAAAAUAAGCCAUUUUAACAAAUGGAACUUCAUAAUGGAUGAAGUACUAAUCAUAUGAAUGAAUUGUUAGUAUUGUACUACAAUGGUCUCAAGGUUGGAGCAAAGUUUGUAUUGAUGCGAAAUAUAUAAGCACACAAAUUAAACCCUCUUUUUAUCAAUUGUAGUAAAGUAUGUAAGUAGGGUAUCGUUCUAGGCCGGGGAUUAGGAGGGAUUGCUAAUCUAUUCUAAAUUAAUUUAGAAUUAUUAAACAAGACUCAAGGACACAAAAC
rnacentral:lncRNA from 1 species